rnacentral:rRNA from 1 species
AAUAAACGCUGGCGGCAUGCCUUACACAUGCAAGUCGAACGGCAGCGCGGGAGCAAUCCUGGCGGCGAGUGGCGAACGGGUGAGUAAUAUAUCGGAACGUGCCCAGUAGUGGGGGAUAGCCCGGCGAAAGCCGGAUUAAUACCGCAUGAGACCUGAGGGUGAAAGCGGGGGAUCGCAAGACCUCGCGCUAUUGGAGCGGCCGAUAUCAGAUUAGCUAGUUGGUGGGGUAAAGGCCUACCAAGGCAACGAUCUGUAGUUGGUCUGAGAGGACGACCAGCCACACUGGGACUGAGACACGGCCCAGACUCCUACGGGAGGCAGCAGUGGGGAAUUUUGGACAAUGGGCGCAAGCCUGAUCCAGCAAUGCCGCGUGCAGGAAGAAGGCCUCGG